AGCAAAGACAAUUUAGUAUUGGUAUUAUUCAAAUGAAACAUUUGAUUUGUUAUUUAUUCUAGUUAUAGCAACUUGUACAACAUACUUUGUAUCUUAGAAAUCCCUCUUUUAAUGAGAUAUUUCGUGAGUGGUAUGUUUGUUUCAUGUUGUACUUUAUAUGAGGUAUACGUACAUGCACUCUUAGAUACUAUUAUAUUUAUAUAGUUACUUAUAUAAGUCAAGUUGCAUCCUUUUUAGGAUUGUUGCAGAUUCUUAAGGAACAAGAUUGGUGUGGGAAUUACCCUAAUCUAGAAACACCAAGUGAGGAAAUUAAAAUAAUGUGCUUCUACCAAGAUAGUAACGAGCAUUGUGUAUACAAAAGGACAGACAUGGGCUGUUGGGCUUUGCAGGGCAAAGCUCCUACUGAACCCCGUGGGCAUGGCCAGAAACUUUUCAUAGAGUACUAAUGGUUAUUGUUGACUUUUUGGUGUAACUUGGCCUGACUUUAUAGAGCAGCUUCUGUUCUGCAGGGGUUCCUACCAUGACUGGAAGCGGUUAAAUGCAGUGGGCAGAGCCUGCAGCUGAGUUCAGAGCUCAUGUCCUUGGGGUGCCUGGACUUCCUUCAGGUGCAAGCUCCCAGGUGAAGAGAAUGAACGCAGGUGCUCUCACAGAAACAGUUCCAAGAUUUGCACCAAAAUCACAGAGACAAAUUGCUAUACGCAGGUAGUGUCUUUUCUGGUGUUUUUGGAUCUGGCCAAUGAUGUACAUAUGCUGGCCUGGGUGGCAGCCAAGAAUCUUAGUUUGUAAGAUUUGGAUAAGAUAGUAAGUUUGUAAGGUUUCCCCAGGGAAAAGAGGAAAUGAGUUGUGUAGGUCUGUGCAACUCUUUGUUGCCAAAUGUUAAGGAUAUAAUACGCUGAACACGAGUUCAGAAAUAUACUAGGGUAAUUCAUGGUAUUUUAAUCCAUUGCUGUUUGUUUAAACAGGAUUGUCCAAAUGCUGCUUGCCAGUUAGGGAAGACUUCACAUCUGUGACUGGAGAAGGCUGUGAGGCUGUAACAGGAAAAGGACUUGCUGGGCUUACCUGCUCUUUACUAUUUCCCUCCAACCACAAUUACUGGCUGCUCCUGGGGAGCUGUUGAGCCAUGCAAGAAACCCUGUAUAUUAUCACAACAACAUCAGCUAGGCAGAAUUUGUCUGUGUAACAGCCUGCCGCAAGAUAAUGCAAAGCAAACCGUACAGGUAUUUUUAUCCUUUUAUCCUCUCUAAUGUAAUCCUGGAUGUUCAAAGAUCACGACGGGAUGUUUAAUCUCAUGUCUCUGGUAUUAUUUGCUAGCAUAGAUUAGGAGGAAAAUGCCUCUCUGGGAAGCUGCUCCAUUUCCAGGGUUGAUCUGCUGCCUCCUUUAUCUCAUUGUUAGGAAAACUCAGCUGAAAUCUGGCUGUCUUCCAACUUGCAAAGCAAGACUUUAUUUUGCAGUGUUCAUUUAACUUUUGCUGGGUUUUGCACUGAAAUCUGGCUGGCCACGGUAGUGCUUCAGGUUGUCCACAGGCAGUGCAGUUAAUGCCGGCAGCGAGGGAGCCGCCCGGACUGCCAGCCAGUGCCUGGAUGUAGUCAUGGAGGGAGUAAGCCUGAGCCUCGCUUGACCACCUCAGGAUUGCAUGCCCAGAACAAGGCGUGGGGGUCUUGGGUGCUUUUAGGAUAACUGCAAGAUUCUUAAUAUUCAGGAGUACCUGAUAAUCAAGAGUCUAAAGAGAGCAGCUGUGCCAUGUUAACGCUGUGGUGCUGUUUAACAAAGUAAGUACCUCUUUUUGCACCAUUGUUUUUUUUUUUUAACCUAAAAUGUGUGAAGAGCAGCGAGACUCAGCUGUUCCUGCCCAGCUCCCACAGAGGCUAAUUGGGAUUGCACUCUCAGUUGGUGUGAGCAGGUUUGGGAUAUCUCUUGUCUGGAAACAUGGGAAAAUAAAUGCAUUUACAGCAGCCUCUCCUGAAAUCCAGGAGGACUGGGUGCAACAUGCUGGCCCUGGCUGGUCUGUGCUGAUAACAGGGCAGCAGAGGGGGCAGCUCAGGUGACGGGGAAGGCAGGUUUUGCUCUUCUUGCACCGGGGGAAAUAGGGGCACGCUGAGGCUGCUGUCCCUAAGUGGCAGUUACAGAGCUGUGAAGGAGUGGAGACAACUGGGGCUUUCCAGGCAAGUCAAGGCCAUAUGGCUGACUUUAAUGUAUAUGCAGUUGGCAGCCCUGUUAAUCAAAAACCUGUGAAAGAUGAUCUGCGGAGGUGUUCUAGAGAAAUCCUGGCUUGAUAACCAAGAGCAGAGCUUUGUGAUUAGUCAGCUGUGGGAUAUUUACAUGUCCGUAUGAAUCAGAUUGUUAGUUAAAUAUUGGUUUAGCAGGGGAACUGUGUUCUCUUCCUGUUUGAACUCCAACUGCAAACACUGUUGCAGGUGGUAGGGACAGGCUUGUUGAGUUUUCUUUGGUUUUAAUUUACAGGUAGUUUAAUAUGAGGGGCAAGAUAUAUUAUUAUAACAUUUAAACAUCAAAUUAACAAAAGACUAUUUUUCAAACCAAAUCUGAUCCAUUGGCACCAAACCUAUCUUAAAUCUGACUGAGUUUCAAAGUGAUAAAAGUAUUGUGAGAGGGAGAUAGAUCCUGGCCCUAGGAAAUUGAGGGGGGACGUUUUUAACAUUACCUAAAACCAAUCUGCAGCGUUUAUUUUGGGACACAGGAGGCUCACAGUGAUCCUGUGCUCUGACUGGCCACGUUUUGCUCUGAUGAAGCACAGCAUUGGAUCUGGUGAUUGCUUGUCAGCUGCAGUUCCUCUCUGCAAAUCCCCCGUGUGUCAGUUUUCUUUUGCGCUUUGGUUUCUGCUGUGACCAUAUGGAUGUUUGUUUGACAGGAGUCUUUGACCCUCAGACAGUUGGGUGAGUCAUGGAAAGAGUGAAUUCGCCCGUAUAGAGUUUAAUCUGUCCUCCUCUGAUGGAUUUAAUUUCCCCUUGACAGGCUGUACUCAGUUACGUGCUGUCUGACCUGCCUAUUGGAUACCAAGCAGCAACCAGAGCACUGCGUAUGGAAAGAGUCAUCUCUGGAUGGUGGACGAACAUCAAUAUUAACGAGCUGUUACUCAUUUACACUGAAGUUGCCCAGGGACCCAUGCUCUUCAAGGAUCACAUUACAGUGACUCCCCUGCUCUUUAGGUGCAUACUAUUAAUGUGGAGCCCUGGUAUGCGAGUAGUUUAAAAUUAUUUCUUCCAUGUGCGCUACCAGCAUUACAGUGCAAACUUACAGAUAAUUGUAUUUGCAAUCAUUCUUCCUACUUAAUUCUUUGAAGUCUUUUCUGAUUUUGAUUAGGAAAAAUAACUUCUAUUAUUAACAAAUUUUGCUGUCUUUUUACUGAUCCUCCUUUUGAUAUAACUAGCAAAUACUUGAUUGAGCCUAGCCAUAAGCCUUUUGCCAUUAUGAAAGCUAAACACGUAUUUCCACUUCUUACUUUCUGUCCCCCUGCCUGUCUUUCACAUAAGAUAAUAUUUGCUCAUAACCUUCAUGAUUAUGAAGUCCACAAAAGAGGAGUUUCAUACCAAAUAAUUUUGCCAGUUGAAUUUCCAUCUUUAAAUAUAGUUUACACUAUUUAUGUGGCCUCAAAAUCUUUAACAGUUUUUUGUGCAAGAGUCUCAUAAUCUUAUGUGACUCAUACAUACAAAAUGUAUAAAUGAGCCAAAUGUGGUGAUUUGGUUCUCCGGGCCAAUGUAUGUGUGACCAGCACUUGGUAAGCACAUAAUAUACAGGUGUACAUGUGAGGUUGUUCAAUUAAUGAACCCUUAAUACCAUCACUGCAAAGGGCUUAAACUUGGUGUGUUUGUCUUCUGUGUACAACUAUGUUUCAACUAUUUAGGACAGGCUGACAGGAAUCCAGAAUUGUGCUAGUAUCAUUGGGUAUGUUCCAUAAAGCCUUCCAAAGGAAGUUGGAAGACAUCUUGUAAAGAAAGUAGGCAUUGCGUAUACCAAUCAGGGGAGCAGGUCACAAGCUGGAUGCAAAUUUCAGCUCUGUUUUCAAAAGUGGUGCCCGUUCGGU